GAGCUUGCUCCCGGAUGUUAGCGGCGGACGGGUGAGUAACACGUGGGUAACCUGCCUGUAAGACUGGGAUAACUCCGGGAAACCGGAGCUAAUACCGGAUAGUUCCUUGAACCGCAUGGUUCAAGGAUGAAAGACGGUUUCGGCUGUCACUUACAGAUGGACCCGCGGCGCAUUAGCUAGUUGGUGAGGUAACGGCUCACCAAGGCGACGAUGCGUAGCCGACCUGAGAGGGUGAUCGGCCACACUGGGACUGAGACACGGCCCAGACUCCUACGGGAGGCAGCAGUAGGGAAUCUUCCGCAAUGGACGAAAGUCUGACGGAGCAACGCCGCGUGAGUGAUGAAGGUUUUCGGAUCGUAAAGCUCUGUUGUUAGGGAAGAACAAGUGCAAGAGUAACUGCUUGCACCUUGACGGUACCUAACCAGAAAGCCACGGCUAACUACGUGCCA
rnacentral:rRNA from 2 species